AUUGAACGCUGGCGGCAGGCCUAACACAUGCACGUCGAACGAGUGGCGGACGGGUGAGUAAUGUCUGGGAAACUGCCUGAUGGAGGGGGAUAACUACGGGAAACGGUAGCUAAUACCGCAUACCAUCGGAUGUGCCCAGAUGGGAUUAGCUAGUAGGUGGGGUAACGGCUCACCUAGGCGACGAUCCCUAGAUGGUCUGAGAGGAUGACCAGCCAGAUUGGAACGUAGACACGGUCCAGACUCCGACGGUAGGCAGCCGUGGGGAAUAUUGAACAAUGGGCGCAAGCCUGAUGCAGCCAGGCCGCGUGUAGAAAGAAGGCCCGCGGGUUGUAAAGUACUUUCAGCGGGGAGGCGUGACCCGCAGAAGAAGCACCGGCUAACCCCGUGCCAGCAGCCGCGGUAAUUC
rnacentral:rRNA from 1 species